UGCAAGUCGACGCUUCUUUUUCACCGGAGCUUGCUCCCCGGAAAAAGAGGAGUGGCGAACGGGUGAGUAACACGUGGGUAACCUGCCCAUCAGAAGGGGAUAACACUUGGAAACAGGUGCUAAUACCGUAUAACAAUCAAAACCGCAUGGUUUUGAUUUGAAAGGCGCUUUCGGGUGUCGCUGAUGGAUGGACCCGCGGUGCAUUAGCUAGUUGGUGAGGUAACGGCUCACCAAGGCCACGAUGCAUAGCCGACCUGAGAGGGUGAUCGGCCACAUUGGGACUGAGACACGGCCCAAACUCCUACGGGAGGCAGCAGUAGGGAAUCUUCGGCAAUGGACGAAAGUCUGACCGAGCAACGCCGCGUGAGUGAAGAAGGUUUUCGGAUCGUAAAACUCUGUUGUUAGAGAAGAACAAGGAUGAGAGUAACUGUUCAUCCCUUGACGGUAUCUAACCAGAAAGCCACGGCUAACUACGUGCCAGCAGCCGCGGUAAUACGUAGGUGGCAAGCGUUGUCCGGAUUUAUUGGGCGUAAAGCGAGCGCAGGCGGUUUCUUAAGUCUGAUGUGAAAGCCCCCGGCUCAACCGGGGAGGGUCAUUGGAAACUGGGAGACUUGAGUGCAGAAGAGGAGAGUGGAAUUCCAUGUGUAGCGGUGAAUGCGUAGAUAUAUGGAGGAACCCAGUGGCGAAGCGGCUCUCUGGUCUGUACUGACGCUGAGCUCGAAGCGUGGGAGCAACAG
rnacentral:rRNA from 1 species